rnacentral:rRNA from 1 species
UACGUAGGUGGCGAGCGUUGUCCGGAAUUACUGGGUGUAAAGGGAGCGUAGGCGGGUCGGCAAGUCAGUGGUGAAAUACAUGGGCUUAACCCAUGAAUUGCCAUUGAAACUGCCGGUCUUGAGUGGAUCAGAGGCAAGCGGAAUUCCGAGUGUAGCGGUGAAAUGCGUAGAUAUUCGGAGGGACACCAGUGGCGAAGGCGGCUUGCUGGGGUCUAACUGACGCUGAGGCUCGAAAGUGUGGGGAGCGAACAGGAUUAGAUACCCU